UUCAUUUAAAUGAACUGAAGUUGGAAAUAUAAUAUCAGUGCAAAAAAUAUAUAUGAAGAUAGAUGAAGGUAUGCGCGACUUCGCUGUAAUCAUUGCUAUUGUAUUCCAGUUACUUUGAACUGAACUAGUGCGAGUCAAAGUUGGAUUGUCAAUUACUUAACACAAAAUUACUCAAUUUUGUAUAUUGGCACCCCUUUCAUGUAAGCUAUUUGUUUAAGACGCGCUUUUUACCAUAGAAAAAAGUUUAACAAAAAGUAUGUUCGGAAAUUUUAUGUUUCCAAUGGAACCACAGCUAAAGAAUGUUGAAAUGUCUGCAGAAGUGUUUUGGGGAAAUCAUCAAUCGUGUCGUCCAUCCACCUCUGCUUAUGCCUAUAACAUCGAAAAUUUUAAAGAAAACGUGGUUGAAAAUUGUCGAGUUGGCUUUAGAGUGAUGGCAGGGAUCUCAAAAUUUCUUAUGGACCGACUCAGAAUAUCAUCGUAAAUGUUUUGGAUAAUUCUUUUCCAAGAAAUGAUGUCAUCCAUCUACGAAUCGGAUGAGUUUCAGCAGCCAUUUUCAGGACCGCCAUUUUGAAAAAAAAAAAAAAAAAAAAUUUUCAAGUAAUUUAAUAUAAUAUAUGUACUUUCAUAUGAAAAAAAAUUGAUUACUCAACAUGUUUUGCAAUAAAUAUAAAAUGUAUUG